rnacentral:tRNA from 2 species
GCGGGGGUGGCCGAGUUGGUCAAAGGCGCAGGAUUGAGGGUCCUGUGGCUUAGUGCCUGCGUGGGUUCAAAUCCCAUCCCCCGCA